GCUUAGCCCUGCGUUAAGGAUUGCAGUGAAAAUCCCGCAGAGAGGCACGAACGAGGAAUUGUAGCGUAAAGCCUGACCCGAU
rnacentral:misc_RNA from 1 species